rnacentral:misc_RNA from 1 species
AACGCACAUUGCGCCCAUUAGUAUUCUAGUGGGCAUGCCUGUUCGAGCGUCAUUUCAACCUUCAAGUUUGCCAACUUGGUGUUGGAGUCCUCUGUUUUACUAAGAGACUCUAAAAGAAAUUGGCGAGCUGAUUGUAAGCCCAAGUGUAGUAGAUUAUUCUUUUAUCACUUAGGGACUUCAGUAAGUGUUAGCCGUUAAAAAAAUAAUUUUAUGGUUGACCUCGGAUCAGGUAGGAAUACCCGCUGAACUUAA